rnacentral:snoRNA from 1 species
AACCCAUGGUAAGGGCACCUUCUCAAUAAAUCCUUAUAUCUUUCCCAUCCAUCAUAAAGUCCAUCUGCACAAAAAAAGAGAUAUCAUUCCUCAACUU